rnacentral:miRNA from 1 species
UCAGUGGGUAGAAUUCAGCCAGGAUUCAGAGAGAAGCUGGUCAAAUUCAGCCAGGA